ACUUUCCCGAUAUAUAUAAAAGCAGCUGCGCAAAACCAACCAGUCUGACUAUAUCGACGACUCUCUGUAUUUUCGUUACUUUCCGUACGACUACGAGUGGACACGAAAUAUGGCGAAUCGUUUCACGGUUUUCUUCGUUGUGUUUAUGUUGGCAAUCGGUCUGUCCGCUGUGUCUGGCGAGUUCUUCAACUGGGACGAUGGCUGGCUCUGGUUCUACCUCAUGGGAAACAGAGGUCUCUUUCCAACGUACCAACAACCACGCGCACCAGUCAAUCAAAUGGGUGGACGCCAGCUUUCUUACGCAUGACGAAUCUGAUCACGUGAUUCAAUUCUAUUGAUAGAUUGGAGUUGUGUGCCCCAAGCACUUAGCCUGAGUACCAUGUGUACCGGGUCAUUUAUACAUACUAAUCCUGUUAUUUAAAACUAUAUAUAUGCACCUGGCUUGAUAUAGAAACAGGACGAAUAGACGACAUACGAUGACACACAACCUACUAUUGUUUCUCGAUCUAUCGCCGACAUUUUCCGUAACCUUUAAAUGAUGCGGUCCUUGACGUAUCUCCUCAAUGAACCAAUCAGGUAGACCUAUUUUGAUCAGCUUUUUUCGUAUUAAGAAACUUUUUAAAAAUAAGACUAAAUUCGAAAGAAUUACCUUUCUGAACUUUGUGUUCAACAUUGAAAUAAAUGUGUUUGUUACAAACAAUAGCAUUGGGUCUGAGUGUAAACUUUUAAAGUUUGUCUUUCUUUUUGUUUUUCUUUUUGUUUAAGACAGUGUAUAUGCUAAAUAUAUUAGCUCCAUUUCUGCAUACAUUACCAUAAAUUAUUUUUCUCCUGACCAUGUCAGCAUUUGUGUUGAAACGUUCAGAUUUUUACCUUGUGGUUUUAAACACAGACUUUUUUUUACUAUUAUUAUUAUUAUUAUUAUUAUUAUUAUUAUUACUUGUGUCUAGUAAAAAGGUUUGUUUUCGUUUUUAAGCAACAAUAAUUGCAUGUGCAAUAGCAAAGCCAGAUGUCAUGGUCGCGUGUUUAUCAAAGUAUUCGCUACUUGAGUUUUCACACUAAAAUAGACUUCAGUCCGGUGUCAUGUUGUACAUGUUCUUAACAUGAUUUUCAGGGAUAUCCGACAUGUAUGUAUAUAUACGACAAUUUGAUCAACAUAUCAUUUUGUUCAUAAACUAUUUUUAAUCUUG